rnacentral:rRNA from 1 species
AUACGGAGGGUCCGAGCGUUAUCCGGAAUCAUUGGGCUUAAAGGGUCCGUAGGCGGGAAUCUAAGUCAGUGGUGAAAUCUUGCAGCUCAACUGUAAAAUUGCCAUUGAUACUGGAUUUCUUGAAUUAGUGUGAAGUGGUUAGAAUGUGUAGUGUAGCGGUGAAAUGCAUAGAUAUUACACAGAAUACCAAUUGCGAAGGCAGAUCACUAACACUAUAUUGACGCUAAGGGACGAAAGCGAGGGGAGCGAACAGGAUUAGAAACCCCGGUAGUCC